GAUGAACGCUAGCGGGAGGCCUAACACAUGCAAGCCGAGCGGUAUUGUUUCUUCGGAAAUGAGAGAGCGGCGUACGGGUGCGGAACACGUGUGCAACCUGCCUUUAUCUGGGGGAUAGCCUUUCGAAAGGAAGAUUAAUACUCCAUAAUAUAUUGAACGGCAUCGUUUAAUAUUGAAAGCUCCGGCGGAUAGAGAUGGGCACGCGCAAGAUUAGCUAGUUGGUGAGGUAUCGGCUCACCAAGGCAAUGAUCUUUAGGGGGCCUGAGAGGGUGAUCCCCCACACUGGUACUGAGACACGGACCAGACUCCUACGGGAGGCAGCAGUGAGGAAUAUUGAUCAAUGGGUGCAAGCCUGAACCAGCCAUCCCGCGUGAAGGACGACUGCCCUAUGGGUUGUAAACUUCUUUUGUAUAGGGAUAAACCUUUCCACGUGUGGAAAGCUGAAGGUACUAUACGAAUAAGCACCGGCUAACUCCGUGCCAGCCGCCGCCGUAACAC
rnacentral:rRNA from 1 species